rnacentral:rRNA from 1 species
GACGAACGCUGGCGGCGUGCUUAACACAUGCAAGUCGAACGAAGUGGCGAACGGGUGAGUAACGCGUAAUCAACCUGCCCUUCAGAGGGGGACAACAGUUGGAAAAGACUUCUAAUACCGCAUACUGAAGGAGGGGAUUGGGUCGGAUUAGCUAGUUGGCGGGGUAACGGCCCACCAAGGCGAUGAUCAGUAGCCGGUCUGAGAGGAAGAACGGGCAACUUGGGGCUGAGACACGGCCCAGACUCUUACGGGAGGAAGCAGUGGGGACUCUUCCGGAAUGGACGAAAGGCUAACGGAGCAACGCGGCGUGAGUGAUGACGGCCUUCGGGUUGUAAAGCUCUGUUAAUCGGGACGCGGUACCGGAAUAGAAAGCCACGGCUAACUACGUGCCAGCCGCCGCGGUAAUUC